rnacentral:rRNA from 1 species
GACGAACGCUGGCGGCGUGCUUAACACAUGCGAGUCGAACGGAAAGGCCCUGCUUUUGUGGGGUGCUCGAGUGGCGAACGGGUGAGUAACACGUGAGUAACCUACCCUUGACUUUGGGAUAACUUCAGGAAACUGGGGCUAAUACCGGAUAGGAGCUCCUGCUGCAUGGUGGGGGUUGGAAAGUUUCGGCGGUUGGGGAUGGACUCGCGGCUUAUCAGCUUGUUGGUGGGGUAGUGGCUUACCAAGGCUUUGACGGGUAGCCGGCCUGAGAGGGUGACCGGCCACAUUGGGACUGAGAUACGGCCCAGACUCCUACGGGAGGCAGCAGUGGGGAAUAUUGCACAAUGGGCGGAAGCCUGAUGCAGCAACGCCGCGUGCGGGAUGAAGGCCUUCGGGUUGUAAACCGCUUUCGCCUGUGACGAAGCGUGAGUGACGGUAAUGGGUAAAGAAGCACCGGCUAACUACGUG